UUAUAUGUUAUAAUAAAGACGUUCAUGACUCUAGGUAUUGUAAUAGGUCCGAAGACCACAGUGCACAGGUGUAUGAAGGGAAAAGUGCUUGCGCACAUCUCUAAUGAUCCUUCCGCAGGUUCACCUACGGAAA
rnacentral:misc_RNA from 1 species